rnacentral:rRNA from 1 species
CCUACGGGGGGCAGCAGUGGGGAAUAUUGCACAAUGGGGGAAACCCUGAUGCAGCGACGCCGCGUGAAGGAAGAAGUAUUUCGGUAUGUAAACUUCUAUCAGCAGGGAAGAAAAUGACGGUACCUGACUAAGAAGCCCCGGCUAACUACGUGCCAGCAGCCGCGGUAAUACGUAGGGGGCAAGCGUUAUCCGGAUUUACUGGGUGUAAAGGGAGCGUAGACGGCAGCGCAAGUCUGGAGUGAAAUGCCGGGGCCCAACCCCGGAACUGCUCUGGAAACUGUGAAGCUGGAGUGCAGGAGAGGUAAGCGGAAUUCCUGGUGUAGCGGUGAAAUGCGUAGAUAUCAGGAGGAACACCGGCGGCGAAGGCGGCUUACUGGACUGUAACUGACGUUGAGGCUCGAAGGUGUGGGGAGCAAACAGGAUUAGAUACCCUUGUAGUC